CGCGUAGAUAACCUGUCUUCAUGUCUGGAAUAAUACGCCGAAAGGGGUACUAAUACCGGAUAUUCUUGCUUUAUAUAAGUUUUGCAAGCAAAGGUGGCCUCUGACAUAAGCUACUGCAUAAAGAGGGGUCUGCGUACCAUUAGCUUGUAGGUGGGGUAAUGGCCUACCUAGGCGACGAUGGUUAGCGGGUCUGAGAGGAUGAUCCGCCACACUGGCACUGGAAUACGGGCCAGACUCCUACGGGAGGCAGCAGUGAGGAAUAUUGCGCAAUGGGGGCAACCCUGACGCAGCGACGCCGCGUGAGCGAGGAAGGCCUUCGGGUCGUAAAGCUCUGUCAAAGGGAAAGAAAUGUAUAAUGGUUAAUACCUGUUAUAUUUGACGGUACCCUUAAAGGAAGCACCGGCUAACUCCGUGCCAGCAGCCGCGGUAAUACGGAGGGUGCAAGCGUUGUUCGGAAUUACUGGGCGUAAAGGGCGCGUAGGCGGUUUGAUAAGUCAGAU
rnacentral:rRNA from 1 species